CUCGGAAUUCACCUUGGAUAUUUGAUAUAUUAAAGAUAUCUAUGGAUAUUUGACCCACAUGUAUCCCACAUUUGUUUCAAAUGUCGCGCUUCUCAUGGCCGAACGCAUUAGAAACAGUAGAUAACGUGGCAGUUCAGCUGAUUAUGUAUUGUUUUUUAAAAUGCGUUCGGCACAGGAGAGCGCGACGUUUGAAACAGACCUAUAAAAUGUUGAUUGAAAAUUGCGUGACGUAGCAUGCACUUCUAAGGGUUAAGACCGGAAUUUGAGGUGAAAUUGAUGUAAUUUGUUCGUUAUAAAAACAUUUGUUCUUUAUGAAAGUAUUUAAUAGCAACUUUGUGACGACAAGGAAGGAUUUGGAUCGUGAAAAGCUUUGGCUAUACCAUUAGACAUACGAAAUAUCGUGUAAGUUCGUUGCUUUUCGUUUG